rnacentral:tRNA from 1 species
AGGAUUAUAGUUUAUAAAACAUUUGAUUUGCAUUCAAAAAAUAUUGAAACUCAGUUCAAUUUAUCUUA